rnacentral:rRNA from 1 species
UCGGGAAUAUUGCGCAAUGGAGGAAACUCUGACGCAGUGACGCCGCGUGCAGGAAGAAGGUUUUCGGAUUGUAAACUGCUUUAGAUAGGGAAGAAAAAAUGACAGUACCCAUAGAAUAAGCUCCGGCUAACUACGUGCCAGCAGCCGCGGUAAUACGUAGGGAGCGAGCGUUAUCCGGAUUUAUUGGGUGUAAAGGGUGCGUAGAUGGAUAAACAAGUUGGUUGUGAAAUCCCUCGGCUUAACUGAGGAAUUGCAACCAAAACUGUAGAUCUUGAGUACUGGAGGGGAAAGCGGAAUUCCUAGUGUAGCGGUGAAAUGCGUAGAUAUUAGGAAGAACACCGGUGGCGAAGGCGGCUUUCUGGACAGAAACUGACAUUGAGGCACGAAAGUGUGGGGAGCAAACAGGAUUAGAUACCC